UGGCUCUCGCAUCGAUGAAGAACGCAGCGAAAUGCGAUAAGUAAUGUGAAUUGCAGAAUUCAGUGAAUCAUCGAAUCUUUGAACGCACCUUGCGCUCCUUGGCAUUCCGAGGAGCAUGCCUGUUUGAGUGUCAUUAAAUUCUCAAUCCUAUGCUCUCUUGUAUUGCAUGGUGAUUGGAUUAUGGAGGCUGCUGGCUUGUUCAGCUCCUCUUAAAUGCAUUAGCAGGGUAUAAUGCCAUCUGUGCUUUGUAUGAUAUGUAUCUAUACAUUGUGCGAGUUGUGCAUGUCUGCUACAAACUGUCAGAAUCUGACACUUGACCAAUUUGACCUCAAAUCAGGUAGGACUACCCGCUGA
rnacentral:misc_RNA from 1 species